rnacentral:sRNA from 1 species
CUGGCAGUAAUAGAAACUGAAGUCCUCUCGUUGUACCCACAGGAUGGAAACAGUUGGGCCAGUCCAGUGAGCCACUCCAUGGUGCCUUAUCAGUGACCUGGAGGGACUGUAUUCUCUUUUAGAGAGAGGAUGUUUGGUCUCCAUAGCAGCUCAGUUCUGGUCCUCU